rnacentral:misc_RNA from 1 species
GAUGAAGAACGUAGCGAAAUGCGAUAAGUAAUGUGAAUUGCAGAAUUCAGUGAAUCAUCGAGUCUUUGAACGCACAUUGCGCCCCCUGGUAUUCCGGGGGGCAUGCCUGUCCGAGCGUCAUUGCCGCCCUCAAGCACGGCUUGUGUGUUGGGCCCCCGCCCCCCGGCUUCGGGGGGCGGGCCCGAAAGGCAGCGGCGGCACCGCGUCCGGUCCUCGAGCGUAUGGGGCUUCGUCACCCGCUCUGUAGGCCCGGCCGGCGCCCGCCGGCGACCCCAAUCAAUCUUUCCAGGUUGACCUCGGAUCAGGUAGGGAUACCCGCUGAACUUAAGCAUAUCAAUAAGCGGAGG